AAUUUUUUCAUAAAGAACUUUUAACAGGUUUCUGAAAUUAUAAAUUACGAUAAGAAUAAUAGUUUUAAAAAACACUAUUACAGAAAAGACGUAUUUCUCCAAUUGAAACAGCAAAACACUAUAUAGAAAUGCAAAAAGACCCAGACACUUUAUACAAAAAAGAAGUAGAUAAAACAAAAGGUUUUGGCGUCUUUUCUUUUGAAAAAAUUCAAAAAGGUCAAUUCAUUGCCCAAUACAGAGGAGACUUAGUGCCAAAAAAAGAAAUGAACAACAAAAUACAAUAUUAUGAAAAAACUAAUGCUGGUAGUUAUGUUUAUGACUUUCUACACAAUAAUAUUGAGUACAGUAUUGAUGCCACAUUUCAUUUUAAUUAUAUUGGCCGUUAUUUCAAUGAUUCAAAAUAUUAUCCAAAUGCUAUAAUGAAAAAAGUUGUAUUGAAUAACACUCCAUCUUUAUGCUUGUUUGCACUAAAGGAUAUAGAGCCAAAUGAAGAAAUACUAUACUUCUACGGUGUUGACAAUUUAAUUUGGCAUACUGAAGAAUUAAAAAGGAAAAAUCAAAAAAGAAACAAAUCAAAGGCUUGUUCUCCUACAAUAAAAAACAUUGCAUCGUAUGAAGCUGCAGAAGACAUUGAUUUUGGUGUGGAAUGCACAAUAUCUAACUCGCCAUUUCACAAUUCAAGUUUAGAGGUUCGAGUUUGUUCUUCUAUAACAAAGGAAACUGAAUUAGAUGUCAAAGAACUUCUAGAUUCAGAUUAUGAAGGAAAAAAAAUUACCAUAGCCAAUUCACCAAGUCCUGAGGCUUAUUCUCCUACAAUAAAAAACAUUGCAUCAGAUAGUAAAGCUGUAGAAGAUUUAAACAUUGAUUUUGGUGUGGAAAAUGCAAUAUCUAACUCGCCAUUUGACAAUUCAAGUUUAGAGGUACAUGCUUGUUCUUCUAUAGAAAAAGACACAGAUUUGGACGAAGAGGAAACAAAUUCAAAAGAUUUUGAUAAGAAGGAAUUUCACCCAGAGAAAUUAGUUCAUUUGUCAAAAAUGAGUAACACCAAGGUCAAGUCAAUGAAAAAAAAACCAGGCAGAAUUUGUAUAUUUUGCAACAAAAUUCAAUCGAGAUUAACAAGACAUAUAACUUUAAAACAUAAAGAUAUAGAAACUGUUAAAUCAGCUUUGAAUCUUCCAGACAGAGAAAAACUAAAAAUGUUUGAUAAAUUUAAAAAAGAAGGAAUAAAAAAAUAUAACAUUGAUCAAACAAAAGAACUAAAUCCUAACUUUCAAAGAGAGAGAAAGGCAAAAAAGACUUGUAAAGACACAGCAGAAAAUCUUGAGAUGUGUGGACAUUGCAAUGGCUUUUUUUCGAAACGCUUUUUAAGUAGACAUAGCAAAAAUUGUGACCUAAAUAAUUUAAAAUCAACCAUUCAUAUUCCACUUAGCUUGAUAAAAGACAAUUUUCUUUCAUCAUUUCCAAACGAAUUUGUUACAAAUGUUCUUGGAAAUAUGAGAAAUGAUGAUGUUGGUAAAAUUUGCAAACAGGAUGAUAUCAUUUUAACUGUUGGUCUUCGUUUGUAUGACAAAAUGAAAAGAAAAUGCGAUAAAGCUUCAGAAGUUCUUAAAUCUGUCCGAAACGACAUGAGAAGACUUGGAAAUCUUUAUUCGAUUUUCAGAAGGAAUGAAAAAGUCCAUAAAAAAUAUAGUAACUCUAUGGACAUGUUUAAUCGAAUUAAUUUUGAUAUUUUAAGAAAUGCGAUUGAUGAAUAUACUAUAUCAGAAAACUGUUUAAAAUCAGGAUUGAAAAUUGUUCUCUCCUCAUUAAUAAAAAAAGCAGCAAAGAUUAUAAAGGGAACAAUACUUACACAAAAUGAUAAAAAUCUAACCUAUGAGGAAAAUAAUAAAUUAGUUUUAGAAAAAGUGCAAGAUAUUGAUUUGUUUGUAUCUGUUUUUGAAACUUGGAAAGGGUAUAUAUUUGGUGAUGCUGAGUAUGACAUAAACAAAAAGCGUCACCAAAAACUUAGGAGACCAACAAAUUUGCCAGAAGAAAAAGAUGUCCAAGUUCUUCAAAAUUAUAUUCUUCAGCGAAUAGAAAGUAUAAUGAAUGACAGGUUUAUUUUUUGGGACAGCCAUACAUUUAUCGAACUUCGCGACAUGGUUUGCACUCGUCUUACUUUGCUAAAUGCCAGACGUGGUGGGGAACCAGCUAGGUUGCUGUUAAAUGACUGGAAGGAUGCCGAAGAUGGUGCAUGGAUUAAACCACAACAUAUCAAAGAGCUAAAUCAACUUGAUAAAAAAUUAGCCAACUCAAUACAAGUUGCAUAUAUGACUGGAAAGGGAAACAACCAUUUAGUACCAGUAUUAAUUCCAUUAGAUUCAUUUGCAGUCCUUAGAAAAUUAGCAGAUUUAAAGAUUAGGAAAGAAGCUGGUAUUUUGGAAAAUAAUCCAUAUCUUUUCCCCAGCACAAAAAAUAGUACCAAUCAUGUUUCAGGUUGGCAUGCACUGCAUGCCAUAUGCAUGAAAAUAAAAAAUAACUUAAUAAAACCAAAUAAACUUACUGCAACAUCUAAUCGUCGCAGAGUAAGCACUCUAUUUGCAAUGUUGAAUUUACCACCACAAGAAAGAGAGCUUUUUUACCAACAUAUGGGACAUAGCCAAGCCAUUAACCAAAAUGUGUAUCAAGCUCCACCAGCAUUACUAGAAAUACUAAAAGUUGGUAGACAUUUAAUCGAUCUUGAAAAUGGGAUACAAAAGAAUGCUAUCAAUACUGUACCUCAGACAUCUACCAGUGACUGGAUGGAACACAUUGAAGAUUCAAGUGAUGGCAAAAAUUAUGACAAUGAUUGGGUAAACAAAUGAAUGCUAUCAAUACAGUGCCUCAACCAUCAACCAGUGACUGGAAGGAUCACACUGAUGACUCAAGUGAUGAUAGAGAUGAUUGUGACAAUGAUUGGACGCUUGAUACAGUAAGCAGGAAAAAAAAUAAUAAAAGAGUCAAUCUAAAUGAA
rnacentral:misc_RNA from 1 species